GUUUGAGUUAUUCUGACAAGCAGAUUUGUGCUGCAUUUUUUAAAAUUCCUGAUGUUCUAAAAAAUAUGAUUUGCGAAGUACUAUGUCAUUAUACCUAGAUAUGUGCUGUUGUCAUAAUUUUAUCAUGUUUUAGGUUAGACCAAGCCGAAGUUAUUGGGUCAAAACCGAUUUUUUCCCUAAAAGAGAAAUUUGGAAAGAAAUUUUUUUAGACUGGAACUGAAACCGGGGGACCCUUCUAUCUGGUUCUGGUCCCCUUAACCAUGGAACCGGGCCAACCACAGGUCUGUGUUAAGUGUGUUCUUUUAAGGGUUAAAGGACAAAGCUGGCAGUGUUGUUUGCUUCUAGUUAUUUGUAGGCAUCUUUUUUGCCUAAUUCUUGCCAUUGAAAUAGCAUCAUUUUACAUUAGGAAGACAGACAUCAUUUGGAUUGACUUGAUUCUCUAUGCAUAUGCCACUUAAAUAUCAAGAAAUAAUCACUAUUUGACUUGAAAAUUACCUAUAUAUAUAUAUAUAUAUAAGGUUGAACUGUAUAUGUAAUUUUUGUGAAUCGUGUAUAUAAUGAAGCCCAACUCACAAAAAGCAUACAAAGGCCAUUUAAGGCUUUUACAUAUUCAUUCCCCUCUCUUUCUGUUCUCCCUUUUUUUUAAUCUAAAUUAUGUUAGCUCUGAAAAUUUUGUAUUGGAAUUCACAUGUUAGGUAAGAACAGCUGGUUCUUACUUGAACUGGUUUCAAAGUAAUUGCUAUAACUGACUGUUAUUAUUUGGUGCAGGAACACCAAGGGAUUAGCAAGAGUGAGAGAAAGAGAAUAUGC
rnacentral:misc_RNA from 1 species